rnacentral:misc_RNA from 1 species
AACUUUUGGCAUCGGAUCACUUGGCUCCUGCAACGAUGAAGAACGCAGUAAAGUGCGAAAUGUGGUGCGACGUGCACGAACCUGUGAGUCAUCUAGUAUUUGAACGCAACUUGCGCCCCGAGCGAUCGGGGCAUGGCUGCCCGAGUGCCGUUUACGCGUUGCUGAGCGCAGCUUGCUGGGCUUGGCGAGGUGGGCGUCCUGCGCGAGCGGGUUGUCCGAAAGAGAGCAGGGCCGGGGCGAGAGCGCGCCGUGUGCCAGAGGCGGGGUGGUCAAACACCGACGUCUUGUCGCGGCGCGCAGCAGCCUCUUUUUCCUUGGCCUCGGGUCAGGCAAGACUACCCGCUGAACUUAAGCAUAUCAAUAAGCGGAGGCU